rnacentral:snRNA from 1 species
GGCAUCAGCGUGCUCCGGGCGUCGGCCUG